AGAGUUUGAUCCUGGCUCAGGAUGAACGCUAGCGGCAGGCUUAAUACAUGCAAGUCGAGGGGCAUCAAGGUACACGAAAGUGUAUUGUUGGCGACCGGCGGACGGGUGAGUAAUAGGUAGGUAACCUACCUCAUACUGAGGCAUAGCUGGGAGAAAUUCCAGGUAAUUCCUCAUGAGGUUAUAUGACACAUGUGAUAUAAUCAAAGGUAUCGCAAGGUACUGGUAUGAGAUGGGCUUACUGACCAUUAGCUAGUUGGUGAGAUAAGAGCUCACCAAGGCGAAGAUGGUUAGGGGUUUUGAGAGAGAGAUCCCCCACAUUGGAACUGAGAUACGGUCCAGACUCCUACGGGAGGCAGCAGUAGGGAAUAUUGGGCAAUGGGCGGAAGCCUGACCCAGCCAUGCCGCGUGAAGGAAGACGGCCUUAUGGGUUGUAAACUUCUUUACUAUGCGACUAACUAGAUUUACGAGAUAAUUCUAUAGAAUGUAGCAUAGCAAAAAGCACCGGCUAACUCCGUGCCAGCAGCCGCGGUAAUACGGAGGGUGCAAGCGUUAUUCGGAAUUACUGGGUUUAAAGGGUGCGUAGGCGGUUAUAUAAGUUGUCAGUGAAAGGCUACGGCUCAACUGUAGUAGUGCUGGCGAUACUGUAUAACUAAGAACAUGGGAGGGGUACCUGGAAUGUGUGGUGUAGCGGUGAAAUGCAUAGAUAUCACACAGAACACCGGAGGCGAAGGCGGGGUACUAGACCAUAGUUGACGCUGAGGCACGAAAGCGUGGGGAGCAAACAGGAUUAGAUACCCUGGUAGUCCACGCCCUAAACGAUGAUCACUAGAUA
rnacentral:rRNA from 1 species